CAAUAGCGUAUAUUAAAGUUGUUGCAGUUAAAACGCUCGUAGUUGAACAUCUGCCCUUUUCCGGUUAGGUCCGCUCUGCGUGCACCUUCCGAAAUCGGCAUCCGUCUGCGUUGCUUCGCAUUGCAGACCGUUCACUUUGAGGAAAUUAGAGUGUUCAAAGCAGGCUUACGCCUUGAAUACUUCAGCAUGGAAUGAUUGAUAGGACUUCUAUCCUAUCUUGGUUCUAGGGACAGAAGUAAUGGUAAACAGGGUUGGUUGGGGGCAUUCGUACUGAACAGUCAGAGGUGAAAUUCUUAGAUUUGUUCAAGACGAACAACUGCGAAAGCAUCUGCCAAGGACGACCCCAUUAA
rnacentral:rRNA from 1 species